rnacentral:sRNA from 1 species
GUACCUGGAUGAGGCCGAGAGAGAGAAGCAGCAGUACAUGAAGGAGCUGCGGGCGUACCAGCAGUCUGAAGCCUAUAAGAUGUGCACGGAGAAGAUCCAGGAGAAGAAGGUCAAGAAAGAAGACUCGAGCUCUGGGCUCAUGAACACUCUCCUGAACGGACACAAGGUAAGCGACCCUCCUCUCAAUGCAGCACCUGGGGGAGAAAGGUCUGGGGGCUUCUAGAACCCUGAGUCAGAGCCAGUGCUCGCCCAGAUGUGUGCAAGCAGGAGCGGUGCCGUUGCACCGUGGGGACGCUGUUGAUUGUACUGCCACCGGUGUACCCCAGGAGACCCUCCGAGGCUUGGGGCACGCCCAGAAAGAGCGUGGCUGCCUCCUUCCACCAGCAAAUUGCCACCUUGUCCCUUCGUCUUAGGGUGGGGACUGCGAUGGCUUCUCCACCUUCGAUGUUCCCAUCUUCACUGAAGAGUUCUUGGACCAAAACAAAGCGCGCGAGGCGGAGCUUCGGCGCUUGCGGAAGAUGAACGUGGCCUUCGAGGAGCAGAACGCGGUACUGCAGAGGCACACGCAGAGCAUGAGCAGCG